GAGGAGGCGUGGUCAUCUGAGAAGAGCAGUGCCCAGAGAGUGUCGGGCCAGAUUUUAGGGUCGUAACCCGAACCUACCUACCUUAGUCUGCAUUUUGAAUGUGUAACAUUGGACAUAGAGAUACAGCGAGAAGGAGUGAAAUCUCUCCAGAUGACUGGUGGCGGAUGGCCAGUUAGAGAAAGAUGGCUUGGAGACAGAUUAAUGCAAAGUCCUUUGUUCCUGAGACUGAUGACCCGAGUUCAGUCCUUGAGACUCACAUCAUGGAGAUAAACCCGGAGAAAGCUUUCUGUGCUUGGAGAUUUUUUCCUUGCAUGACUGGGUGGAGGAGGGCAGUAUAGGUGCCCAGCGUGCGCAAGAGAAAGACAAGGCUGACGCAGCGGGCAGGGACAUGGAGUGAGAGCACUGGAGGUAGGUAUGUCUGCUCCUCAUCAGAGUGGGGCUGCCUCCGGCUCUGCCGCAUUGGUCUAAGCAAGUAUCUGGACAUAGAGAGGGCCAUGCUUUAAAAAGGCUGCCACUGGUGUUGUUAAUAGGACCGUAAAUGUCUUCGCCCGUGGUCCCACCUGAAACAUACUGCUCAUUUGAGAUAUUUGUUCAAUAAAUAAUAUGGCUUUUUUUUUUCUGGAGCACACACAGCCCUAGGAUGCAAGAAGCCAAUGAUUUCUGUUGACUCUCCCUUCGCUUCUCCAGUUCAGAGCUAUUCUCUUUCCUACCCGGACCUCUGCCUCUUGUUCUGCUAUUGAAAUGAAUAUACUCUCAAUUUCUUACCACACUC